AGAGUUUGAUCCUGGCUCAGGAUGAACGCUGGCGGCGUGCCUAAUACAUGCAAGUCGAGCGAACGGACGAGAAGCUUGCUUCUCUGAUGUUAGCGGCGGACGGGUGAGUAACACGUGGAUAACCUACCUAUAAGACUGGGAUAACUUCGGGAAACCGGAGCUAAUACCGGAUAAUAUUUUGAACCGCAUGGUUCAAAAGUGAAAGGCGGUCUUGCUGUCACUUAUAGAUGGAUCCGCGCUGCAUUAGCUAGUUGGUAAGGUAACGGCUUACCAAGGCAACGAUGCAUAGCCGACCUGAGAGGGUGAUCGGCCACACUGGAACUGAGACACGGUCCAGACUCCUACGGGAGGCAGCAGUAGGGAAUCUUCCGCAAUGGGCGAAAGCCUGACGGAGCAACGCCGCGUGAGUGAUGAAGGUCUUCGGAUCGUAAAACUCUGUUAUUAGGGAAGAACAUAUGUGUAAGUAACUGUGCACAUCUUGACGGUACCUAAUCAGAAAGCCACGGCUAACUACGUGCCAGCAGCCGCGGUAAUACGUAGGUGGCAAGCGUUAUCCGGAAUUAUUGGGCGUAAAGCGCGCGUAGGCGGUUUUUUAAGUCUGAUGUGAAAGCCCACGGCUCAACCGUGGAGGGUCAUUGGAAACUGGAAAACUUGAGUGCAGAAGAGGAAAGUGGAAUUCCAUGUGUAGCGGUGAAAUGCGCAGUGAUAUGGAGGAACACCAGUGGCGAAGGCGACUUUCUGGUCUGUAACUGACGCUGAUGUGCGAAAGCGUGGGGAUCAAACAGGAUUAGAUACCCUGGUAGUCC
rnacentral:rRNA from 1 species